ACACAUGGUAUGUACAGGAUUGGUGGAAGAAGACAGAUCAUUCUUUGGGGUUGUAAUGCCUGGAAGGGACCUAUAGUUCCAUCUGAGGAGUUGGAUACAUCCUUUUGGGAGAUCUGGUGAUGGUUGUUAUAUCUGUAGAUAGAUACUCAUGAGCACAUGGCGUGCGUGCUAGUUGAUGGGGUUCAUGCUGAUGAGGAGGGAAGGUAUCUGUCUCCAGGAAAGGGUCUCUUCCGAUGGUGAGGAAUGGAUUCAGGAGACCGGUAAGGAGGCCCUGCAUUAACUCAGCUCUUGUGCCCUUGUGCACCUUACCAGCUUCCCCCAAUAGCACCAAUCUAAGUGGCCUCAAGGGGGCAAAUGGCGCAGCUUUUGUGGUGAGUCCCACAUGAUGUCCCACAAAGCUUCCCCUGUUGCCUUAUUGAGGAAUCAGGAGGGCAGAGCUCCAUGGUCUGAGAUAGGUUCCUUGGACACCACCCAGGAGAGGUGUGGGUAAGCAUAUGGCUCCUUCUACAUCGGCCAAGCCAAUCCACUUUGCCCCAGGCACCCCGAAACCUCUGAGCCCCUUUUUCCUCCCAGCUUAGGGAAGCAGCCAGCCCUCCAGAAGCUUUUGGGUCAUGGAUUAGCCACCAAGGGUAAAUGUCUGGCUGUCCACAUGCUGCCAGCAUUGCUCUAGCAAAUGUCAACAUGAGCAGCUGCUGUACAGGGGAUUCUCCUCCAUUGUGAUCAGGGCCUGGGACAAAACAAGACAUGAGAGAGGGAGAGACAGGAGUGCCCUGUGCUCCUGGACAGGGCUGCAUGCACAAAGCAGAUAUCCUGAAGCCUGGGGGAGAGGUGGAGAAAGAGACAGGCAGGGAGAGAGACAUUGAAUUUGUGAUACGGGAAUUGGGCAAGUCCUAGAGAGUGAAAGGAAGAAAUAGAGAGUGAUGUGGUUAGAGAUAAAGAGAGACAAAGAGGAAGUACAAGGAGAAAGUAGAGACCUGGUCCAGGAAUGUGGAUGGGGUGAGAUGGGCCAGGGAAGAGGGGAUGUAUGAAGUGUCUCUGAGUGCUGGGGCAGAUAUGGCAGGUAUCAUGGGCAUCAGUGUUGUGUGACUCCAAGACUCCAACAUCCCUGGGGCCAAGCUUUGCAGAGGCUAUUGCAUUUGAAAAGAUGGGUAUCCCUCAUUUCUCCUGGAAUUGUGGGGGCACAGCCUCAUGUUCUGUCAUGGAGAGGGAUGUCUUGAGGGAGAGUGUGCUGCUGUUUGGCAGGUAAACACUAGAGCCACCCUGUGGGGAGGGAACCCGGACCCAUCUCCUUCACUUCCCCAGGCCCUGUUGGAUUUCCCCGCCGCUCCCUACCAGCUGGUCUUCCUCAUGUUCUGAACCCAGGCAUCAGGCAUUGUGUUGCCCCCAGAUCCGGCAGUCUGGACCUGCCAGAGUUGAACUGCUGAUAUUGAUAAAAAGUAUUUGACAAGAAGGUCCAUAUUCUCCCUCUGGAGCUAGUGGUGUGCAUCAAGAUCGUGGGUUUUUAUCCUCCUGUCCACUGCCAAACUGAGGAUGCCAGAUGGUACGUGAACCUUUUAAAACACCAUAGUCUUCUCUUACAUCAAAUUCAAAGACAUUUUCUUGUCCCAGCUUUCUUUUAAUUUUGAAGAGAUGGCAAUUAGUAAUUGAAGGCAUAGUGAAUGGUCCUAUAGGAAUUUGACCUAUAUGACUGAUGGACAUUAUUUCAUACAUCUGUAUCACUAAAGCACAUUUCAUUGGAAACAUUAGCCAAGGAUACAUACAGUAAAUUCAUCACAGAUAUGUAGCUCCCUGUAAGUUGCAUUCUGACCCUGCCACAUAUGUGUCAUCAAAGAUAUUAUUAGUGACUAUUCAGAUAAGCUCUCUACAUCAAGAUGGUGAUGUUAGAGAAUCUAGUAUAAAUGGAAUUGCACAGAUUCUAAAUUAGGAAUGAUUUUUUUUAAUUUAUAAUGUUUCUGUUUUUCUCUUUUGGAGAGAGCCUGAGGGAGGGAGGGGGGAGAGAGCAGGAGACACGGAAUCUGGGGCAAGCUCCAGGCUCUGAGCUGUCAGCACAGAACCUGACGCAGGGCUCAAUCUCAUGGACCGCAAGAUCAUGACCUGAGGGGAAGUCGGAUGCUUAACUGACUAAGCCACCCAAGCGCCGCAGGAAUGAUAGUUCAUUGGCAAAAAAAGAUAAAUUAAAGAUAGCGUAAAGGAUGUCAACUUUUCAUUGAAAUAUUCUUCACACAUUUGUUGUAUUCGUUUUAGGCAUACAUUGUAGUCAUUCCAUAUGUCUAUAAAUUAUGUUGUACUUCAGCACAAGUGUAGCUAUCCUGUGAAAGCAUGCAACAAUAUUAUUACAGGAUUGACUCUAUUCCGUUGUCUGUCUCUUGUAUCCCUAGGACUCAUUCGUUCCAUAGCUGGAAGCAGUUAUCUCUCUCUCAAAGGUGUCAAUUCUUUAUCUAACCUAAAUACUCUGGUGGUAAACACAAUUACUUGCUCAGCAUGUGUAAAUUGGCGGUCUAUUUUUCUGUGGACAUUGCUUAAAACAUUACAAAUGAUGUCAUUAUGUUAAUAAAUUCUGUUUCAUUCUUCACUCAAAAAAAAAGGAGAAGGAAAAGAUUUCUUUGUGUUCCAGGCCCUGUCACUAAAACCCUUCCCAUUGUGGAGAACAGGCGGGGUUGCCCAGAGCACCUUCAGUCCCUCAGCUGAGCAACCAGGGCCUUCAACAUUGCAGGAAUUCCCAGGGUAGCCAGCAGAGAGAGCUCAAGCACCACAGACCUGGAGGGGCGGGCUCCUCUGCCUAGGCAGUGAUGGCCAGCAGAGGGCGCACCAUCGGCUUUUCUGACCCAGGGCACUUCAGAGCAGGAAGGGCUGCUGCUGCUCCCAGAGGACACAGGGCCUCUACCGCUGUCUCAGGACAGAGAGCAGAGCUGUGUUUCCAGCGGGUUCUGCCGCCCGCCCCAGGGGAGACCUUGGGAGCUUUGCAGCAACUUGGCAUCUCCUGAGUCGCCAGAGAGAAGCUGCCUUGUUGUACUGAGUACUGAGGAGGGGGCUCUGGGUGGCUUCCCUGGGCAUGAUGGUUGCUAAACAGCAUAGGCCCUUGCAUUUUCUGGGUUGUUCCCGUGUUUCAUUCCUCAACUUCCUGGACAGUAUUUGAACAAGUCGUAUUUUACUAAAGGACUCGUGGAUUGCGGGGUUCCACGACUUCACCUCAUAGAUGCAGUCAAUGGUUUGUUCCAGAUUCAGGCUUGUUUCCGGCAAGAAACGCUGACAGAAAUUCAGAAGAACGGGAGCUGCAUUCCAUUAGGGCUUGAAUACACGAAAUGUUCGUCUCAGGACCUUCUAGAAGAAUGAGCUGGGACCCACUUUCCGAGUCCUGCUGGAACCAGUGACCGAGAUAUCGGCCAGGUAGCUGAAGGCCUGCACUAGGGUACCUACCUCCUUUUCGGAUAGACUGUAUUCCCCUGUACCUGUGACACGGGACACGAGAGAACGUGCUCAUGUGAACACAAGUGAAGGACACCGUGGGGACUUGCCACACAGGUAAUUUUGGAUUUUUUCUCUUCACAACUUAAGUUUCAGUGCAUGUUUUCUAUCACAAAUAUGCCACCUCUUAUAGUUCAGAGUGUUUGUGCCCAGGGCACACCUGAAGGGAUUCUGGACAGCAUAUUUACCAAAAUGCUGAUGGGUAUGAAAUUUACAUUCUAAAGGACACAUACAAAAAUAUAAGUUGGAGUGAAGGCAGUUCGCAUUUUUAUAUUGUAACGAUACCCACAGAUUUUUGUGAGCACGUUAAAAUCCUCAAUAGAAGGUAACAGGAGAGGAAGACACAGCAAGAGCAAAGAUUCCACAUGGAGGAGAUCCACAAAGAAUGAGGCAAGGUAGGAGACUUCCAAGUGGAGUGUGGUGUCAUCUUCCUUCAUUUAUUUCAGGAACACAUUAGAAAAGCCCUAUGGUCCCCACCUUUAGGCACGCUUAGCUGCUCAAGUUAUUACAAAAAGAUGCCAGCUGGGAAACAGAGAAGCCCGUAGACUCGGCGGUAAAGGUUUUGCAUUUGGGGAAAAAACAAAAAAACAAAAACAGCAGACAGACCAUACGACACACAAACCAGAGACAAGGGCAGGAGAGUGUCCUGUACAGGAAGAUGUGGCGGUCCGUAAAUACUUAGAACUGAAAAUGGCCACAGCAUUUACUUUGUGCUUCUUGGCAGUUUUGGCAGAGCCAGUGUCGAUGUCACUCUUGGUUGUGACACCUACUUCUGGACCUGCAAAAAGCCCCAGAAGGGAUGCAGGUUUAUUCUGAUUUGAGUAGACUGUUUGGAGGUCAAAAACAACAAAAAAAACCCUCCCCUCAUACUUCCGACAACUUAAACUCUUUGUCCCAGUGAGAUCCCAAAUGACAUGCACAGGGUGUCCCACAUGCCUCUGGUGAUCCCAAAAAGAACUUGAAGAACCAUCCCUUAUAACUUGAUGAAGACUCCUAAAAGCCCUGACUCAGAUGUAUUCAUCACUCAUCGAACAACUAUGGAUGGCUGGGGGCACAACUAGAUGGACGUACGUUACAUUGUGCCUCAUGCCUCAGAGAUGCCAGCACGUGGACUGUGUACAGGGCAUUUCUGCUGAAGCGCUAUGUCUGAUUUUCGGCAUACGGC